GAGUUUGAUCUUGGCUCAGAUUGAACGCUGGCGGCAGGCCUAACACAUGCAAGUCGGGCGGUAGAGAGAAGCUUGCUUCUCUUGAGAGCGGCGGACGGGUGAGUAAUGCCUAGGAAUCUGCCUGGUAGUGGGGGAUAACGCUCGGAAACGGACGCUAAUACCGCAUACGUCCUACGGGAGAAAGCAGGGGACCUUCGGGCCUUGCGCUAUCAGAUGAGCCUAGGUCGGAUUAGCUAGUUGGUGAGGUAAUGGCUCACCAAGGCGACGAUCCGUAACUGGUCUGAGAGGAUGAUCAGUCACACUGGAACUGAGACACGGUCCAGACUCCUACGGGAGGCAGCAGUGGGGAAUAUUGGACAAUGGGCGAAAGCCUGAUCCAGCCAUGCCGCGUGUGUGAAGAAGGUCUUCGGAUUGUAAAGCACUUUAAGUUGGGAGGAAGGGCAGUAAAUUAAUACUUUGCUGUUUUGACGUUACCGACAGAAUAAGCACCGGCUAACUCUGUGCCAGCCGCCGACCCG
rnacentral:rRNA from 1 species